rnacentral:lncRNA from 1 species
GGGGAAAGUAUGAAGUCAUCUUUCUCAUUGCUCUCCUCUUUAAGUCCAAGAGCAAAGUACUUCUAAAAGGCAGGCUUUGUGGUUCGCAUGGAAUGUAAAUAGCUCAAAUGGCCCCACUUCCAAGAAGCCUUCUUUAACCCUAAGGCUGAAUGAAGAAUGCAAACUUGACCUUGACUUUAAGGUCAAAGCAUUUUCAGACUGUGCGGUCAGCAGAGGAUAGAAAAAAAAAAAAUCAAUGUGAAGCAUAUUAGAGAAGAAUAAGGGUAAGAGUAAUGCAAAGAUGCUGGGAAGCCAUUCAGGAAUUGGAAACAACUGAGACAGAAAAAUCAGUUGGAAGUGAUUUCCCCUCUGUGGUGUCUUCCAGUCCUGGAGAGAACACUGGGAGAUGACUGGAUGACAUGGCUCCCUGUCUGGCCUGUGUCUAUUGAUUUGGUGAACUGGCUUCUACAGGAACAUAGAGAAGAUGUGGCAGAGGUCAGAUGGCUCUGAAAAUGGAGGGGGAAAAAAGCUGCUAUGGUUUUCUUUGUCCAGGCCACUGUCAUAAGGAAGCCUGGAAGAGUGAAGAAAGGUCUGAUUGAUCACAAGGUCCUAUCAAAUGUCAAAGCUGGCCCUGGCUGACCUCCCAUCUAUUCAGAGCUGCUUUGAUUUAAUCUCCAAACUGGCUGCUUCUCCAGGCUGGAAGAAGAUUGAAAUUUCCAACAAGGCAAAGGUGAUGAAAAUGUCUUCAUGGAAUCUUUGGGUACUAAGGAAAAGAGAAAAUGGAGGAGGGCAAUUACCAAAACAAGAAAUCAUCUAAUAAAACAUGAUCCACAGAACAGGAAGCCUGAUUUCUCUUGUCAAGUCACUAAACAGGCAAGAGCCUUCUCAGAUAUGUCCUGAACACCUUCUCUUUGCCUGACAAGUUCAAGAAAUUAAGUCAAAUAAGUAUUUGAUGGAAAUCUACCUGGCUCCAAAGACUGGGCUUCUAACAAUCCUCUCCACAACGUUUGAAUACAAAAAAAGUAUCCUGCUAAAGGACAAAGCCCCUCCAUCUCUUCCCGCCAAGCUCUCUGCGUGCCUGGUGAGAGGUAUAGCACUUUAAAUACCAGAGCAAGUUCUGCCUGGCCAAGUGAAAUCUGCUUCCAUUGUGGUGCAGACCUCCCAGUCCUGUCUGCCCUCAGGAAGUCCUCCUUUGCUUCAGAGAGACCCAGUCAUCCCUGACCAGCCUCAGGAAAAGCCAUGCUGACUCAAAGAAGACCAGCCAACAAUGCCAGCCCUUGGGAAACAUUCCACAGCAGAGCCAAGGCAAACCCUGCCCAGCCAUGGGGAGUACAACUCCACCAAGAAAAAGAAAACAACAAGCAAGAUAAAGAAGCUCAGAAACCACCCCCAGUUAAACCAACAGGAGAACUCACCUAAAGCAGUCAACAAUGAAACAGACCUCUGCUGUCUGACAGACUUAGAGUUCAAAAGGGAGACAGCGAAAAUACUGAAGGAAUUAAGAGAAGAUAUGAACAGUAAUGCAGACUCCGUCAGAAAGAAACUAGAAAAUAUAAGGAGGAGCCAAGAAAAACUAGAAAAUUCAUUUGCAGAGAUACAAACGGAGCUAAAGGCAGUAAAAACCAGAAUGAAUAAUGCAGAGGAACAAAUCAGUGAUGUGGAAUAUACAAUGAUGGAAAUCACAAAAAUGUGACAGCAGACAGAAAACCAAAUGAAAAAACAUGAAAGCAAUAUAAGAGACCUAUGGGAUAAUAUGAAGUGGGCCAAUCUAUGCAUAAUAGGAAUUCCCGAAGGAGAAGAAAAAGAUAACGGAAUUGAAAAUAUAUUUGAAGAAAUUAACGCUGGAAACUUUCCAAAUCUAAAGGAUACUGAUUUCAAGAUACAGGAAUCACACAGGGCCCCAAACAAGUUGAACCCAAAUAGACCAAGGCAGCAAGAGAAAACCAGAAUGUUACCUACAAGGGAACCCCCAUAAGAAUAUCAGCUGAUUUCUCUACAGAAACACUACAGGCCAGGAGGGAAUGGCAAGAGAUAUUUAAAGUGCUAAAAGGAAAAAAUAAGCAACCUAGAAUACUCUAUCCAGCAAGAAUAUCAUUUAAAAUAGAAGGGGAAAUAAAAAUUUUUUCCAACAAACAAAAGCUAAAAGAAUACAGCAAUACAAAACCCAUUCUAAAAGAAAUAUUGAAAGGGCUUCUCUUAAACCAAAAAGAAAGGAAGGAAAGAAAGGGAAGAAAAAGGAAAAAAAAAAAAAGAGGAAGAACUAGGAUGGAGGAAACCACAAAGAGCAGUCACUCAAAUAAGCCAGAAUACAGAUUGGAUCAUGAACAUGUUUAAAACAAAAUAAAAUUAAAAAUAAAAAAAGAGACAUCAGAAUCAUAAAGUGUGGGCAAGGUAAGUAAAGAAAUAAAUACUCUUUUUUAAAUUUUUUUCUUUUUUUUUCCCCUCUCUCUUUUUUGUUUGUUUGUUUCUCUUCUUAAUUUGAGUAUAUUAAUGAAGUGUUUGAAACUACAGGACCAUCAGGCUAAAACACACAAUUAUAGGAAGAGGUUAGCAUACUUAAAAAACAGGGCAACCACAAGCCAAAACCAAAUAUUGCAUUUGCAAAAAAUGAAAAGAAAAACACUCAAGCAGAAAAUAAUUGGAGACCAUCCAACCAAAAAAA